ACUUGACGGCGCACGGUCGGGAGUGCUCGGGAGAAGUGCAUGAGCGAUCGGGAGGUGGAGAACCGCGGGCGCGCACCGCGAGGGGGCAGACAGUUUUACUCGCUACGUUGCGCCUCUGAACUCUCCACGGCUCGGGGCCGGCCUCGGCUUUUAACCGACUACUCUCUCGGCGUGUCGCGCAUAUUUUCGUACGCGGAGCGUCCGAGAGGAGAGAUAUCGGCGGGGGCGCGAGAGAGCGCGCGCGCGCGCGCUACGCCUUCGAUUAACAGCGUUGAUAAGCGAAAGAAGAGAGCGACGACACGCUACGUCACUCCGGCCGGCCGCGGCGCGCGAAUGUGACGUAGUCGGCCGCGCGCGCUGUCACUGGCGCUCGCCGCUGUCAAACGUCGCGCGCGUCCACUCCGUCGAUGAAUUACGCGCGCGUCUCCACUCCCGGCUGCUCUCCGUACCCCCGUCAACGGCUGACCGUUUCGUCGCGAAAUCGAAGGGAGAGGUACCCCGGGAAAUGGACUCCGAGAAGAGAAAGUCAUUAAGCAAUCAAACGUAAUUAGAUAUUACCGUAGGAUAAUUGUUAUUCUUUUUUUUUUUUUCUUCGAAUCGGAGGAAUGUCGACAACGCUCUAGAAAGGUUCUUCGGAUUGUGUAUGUGUGUGUUGUAUGUUCACACUACUACGUGUUGAGGUAAACACGCUCGAUAUAUUCCGACUCGUAUCUAAUCUGACGUUCGAUCGCGCCGUUUCGCGGGUAAUCCCCGAUCCGAGUCACGUGACCGCAUCGCGCCUCUACCUCGACUAUGCGACAACGAGAUGCUCGAUCCCCGCGGAUUCCUCGCGCACGAACAAAUCCAACACCGUGCGAGAGAGGACAGCAAACUUCCUUAUCGAUGGAUCAGCGGCCGUGCCCGGAACUGGGCUAGAGGGCCGAAGGAGAGAGACAGAGAGAGAGAGUCCCUCUCUCUCUCUCUCUCGCUCCAGUUGUCAGUGAUCCGCGAAGUGACCGAGGAACGUAAAUACGUACGUAUGAUAUACAAACCCGGCGAAGUCGCAGCCUACCAGUCCCCCGAUACGACCCGUUCACGAACGGACCCGGUGAAUCGAGAAGCGAGAGGAGGCUCUUCUCUCUUCUUCCUCUCUCCUUCUCUGUCUUUCUCGCGCGCGCGUCCGUUCACUUCGCUCCUCCCGAACGCGCUCGUGGAUGUUAACGUGCGCCGGGUAAACAGCAGCGGAGACGGUCGCGUCAAUGGACACGUCGUUGAACGGCAUCCUCUACUUUUAUUAAAAAAUGCGGUGCCUCGCAAACUAGGAAGAUUGUAAUAAUGGGGGACACGACAUGUCGCCCCCUCUUGCGGAAUCCAGUGAAAAUUAAGAAUUAUUUGCUUCGUGGUUCUCUCGGAGACCUGGCAGCAGCUUGAAUGCACUUCGGGAUCAAUGUGAGAGCAAAUAGCGAGAUAAACUAACGUAACAGGUAUGCUCAGACCGAAAAAUAACGGUUCGAAAUCUGACAAAGAAGGUACCAGACACUCGGAAAGUUGAACUCUAGUGUCUUCUAAAAAAAAAAAAAAGAACAGCUGUUUUAUAUAUCUAGCUGUAUAAUAUGCAAAACGUCAGAAAAGCGAUAAAAAAGUUUUGCUUCUUUUUAAUUGAUUCAUAAAGUUUCUCGGUUUCUCACUGUAGCUAUACUGAAUUAUGAUCAGGUCGGCGUGAAAUCGUGUAUUUUUUUUCUAUAGCACUAUAUUUGAGAUAAAUUAACAUAUUUUGUACAUUUUAUUUUUAAUAACAUCGAUUGAUAAAAUACGUCGAGGACUUUGAUAAAUAACGGUAUUCAUUCUAAAUUUCGAUUAACUGUUAUAAGACACAUUUUCACUAUAUAGAAAUGUAAGGAAUAAAAUAUCGAAAAUGCAAAUUUGAUUACAGAUAAAUUGAAUUAACAAUCAUUUAAUAAUGCGGAAUAAUAAAAAAAAAAAAAAAAAAAUUCCGAUUCCGAUAAUCAAAUAUCAUUUAUUUUUGAUAUGCGCAAAAACCACACGUAUUUAAAUGAAUAAUGUGUAAUGACAGAAAAAGCUACACAAUUUUUCUGACAUAAUUCUAAUUUAUCGCUACAGCGAGAAAAGCCUAAAAAAGCAUAUAUAGGAUACAUAUGUCGGUACUAUAUAUUUUCUAAUUAACAUUAGUAUGUAAAUAACGCUAUAUUAAUUCGCGUAUUUGAUAUCAAAUGCAAUUUGUCGAGUAUUACAUAAGCAUUAGUGUUACAUAAGAAUUUAAAAGACUACGCAUAUUCGCUGCUAAACCGAGAUACGUGUCAUUAUAAAAACAAGCUAGGUACGCAUUAACGGAUCCGAGUUCUCUCUUAAUUCGUCACACACUCGUAGCAACAUUAUUUAACGAUCUAAAAAAUGGCGACAUUCGCAUUUGCAUCCUCUCGGAAAUGCACCCUCGUGCUGAUUCCGCUCGUUACGUUCCUGUGAGAUACAUUGUGCGGACGCGUGCUUCGGCCUGUGCGAGGGCGUAUUAUGGCAAGAGAGAUGCAAAGUGGAGGGGAAAAGGAAGAGGGGAAGCAAACAGAGCGAGAGAGGGGGAAUAUACAAGAGGACGGCACACGGCAGAACGCACAUAACAGGUCGAGCGACCGAGCGGGUCUGACCUAGGAUGUGGUGUAUCGAUCAAAUUUACGAUUUUCUAAUAAAUUCGUACGAGGAGAGUAUAUAUCAUGUAAAUAUUUGAAAGAAAAAAAAAAAAAAAAACGAGUGAAAAAUAUUGUGACGUGUGCAGUCUCGUAUGUAUUCGUUUGUGUACGAAAAUUAUAAUCCCGCGGAAUAUAUAUAGUGGAUAAAAUGGAAGAGUAUCGUUUCGCGGGUGAAUGUUAAUUAAAGGGAGAGAUUAAUGAGGAGCGAUUUCUCUGAAUGGAUGUAAUUGAAGAUGUCUAUCUGGGUCGAAUAAGAAACGUAAUUUUUUAUCAUAAUCGAAGCGUCAAAAGAUUUCGAUUAUAGCGAGCAUAUACUAAACAGUUACUUGCGCAUCCAAUAAUUUUCGUAUUUUCGUCGACAAGUGUUGCGUAAUUGGUGAUGAACUUUUCGAUAAAACGCGCGACAGUAUUAUACGAUACCGCUAGUUCCUAAACAAUGUCCCUAUGUUAUUUGUAUCGCGAGUCUCUGAUUAGUGACACAUUCGCGACACUCCCGAGAGAAAGCGACGACGCCAUUCACGCAAAAAGUAACCAAUGAUAACGCCAUUUUAACGUCCUGCGGGGUCCAAGUCAUUGGACUUGUUUUCUCCAACGUUUUACGACCAUUUACAACGUUGCGACAAUGACAUUCGAUUUUCGCGGCAAUUCGCACCGUGACGUUCGACAUUACGUAGAGGCAUAAAAUAACACGUCAACGUCACGUGAAAACGAGUCUUAAAAAAAAAACUACAAGUGACUGUGUAACAGAAAUCUAUAUCGCGCGGAUAAUAAUAACUCUUACGCGAUAAAUUAUCACAGCGAUGUAAUUGGAGCGAAAGAUUUUAAUUAAAUACUAAAUAUGCACGUAAAAUAUGCAUUUUAAUUAUCGUAAUUUAAUUAUCAUCUCUUUACAUCCUCGGUUUUUCAUUAGAUAAACCGAAAGGGAGUUUCGUGAACGAUCAUUCAUAGCUCGUCAUCCAUCUGGCAUUUAAUCCGCAUUAAAUCGCUAAUGAUAAAUCUAUGUAGCGACUCGAUAAGCGCGCGAGAUGCGAGAUUCUCGAUAUUACGUGACGUCAGCGCGUGAAAUUCGCGAAGAGCGGGUCGCCAUUGCGCCGGCCGGUGGGUAGGUUUUCAACGACACAAUUGCAAAGAGCGACACAGAGUGGCACCCAGGAAUUUCUCUUUCCCACCCCCUUCCCUCGCCAUGUUUUUACACCGUGUUAUCGAUACGAGAUGUAGAGUCGAAGAACGAACCUGGCAGUUUUUCAAAGCCAAAGAACACGAGGGAACGUCGCGCAUCGACAACGAGAGGAGAUUCCUCUCUUCCUUUUCGGAAGUCUCUGGAGGAGAGAAGCCCCUUCUUGCCCUCCCUCCCCUUCCACCCCCCCUUCGGGCACAAGUUCCAUGGAAAAUGAGCGCGAUCGUUUCCGUAUGAUGGCGUUCACGUCGGUGUGUCGAAGACAAACGUCGGGUGUGAUUUCGCGAGUUUUAUGCCACCGUGGCAUAUCCAGGAGAUAUAUACAUAUUGUAAGAAAUUUUUCCCCUUUUCCCCACCGAACUGACUGGCGAACACGCGGGGAAAGCAUGACACCCGAUUAAUUGGUCGGUCGGCGCCCCGUUACGCGACCCAGGCCCGGAAUUCUGGGGGUAUUCUCCCGAUCGCGCGCUCGCUAGGCU